ensembl:rRNA 5S_rRNA 5S ribosomal RNA
GUGUGCAGCCAUAUCACCCUUUAGUUCAAGACCAGUUACACACUGAAGCUAAGCAGGGGUGAGCCUGGUCAGUACCUGGAUGGGCGAGCACAUGGGAAAACUAGGUUUCUGUGAGAA